GGGACCAUAGUUCAACUGGCACUUAGCAUCCGCCUUGCAAGCGGAAGGUUAAGGGUUCAAAUGCCCUUAGUUCCC
rnacentral:tRNA from 1 species